ACCUGCUCCCGAUCCAUGACUACCUCACCUGCUGGCUCUGUAACCUGCAGACGGAUGAUUCUGAUUGGCUCAGAGUCGAUGAUGGAUCUCUUUUUACGUCUGGAACCACCUGAUGCAACCCGACACUCGU